rnacentral:rRNA from 1 species
AACGAACGCUGGCGGCAUGCCUAACACAUGCAAGUCGAACGAGACCUUCGGGUCUAGUGGCGCACGGGUGCGUAACGCGUGGGAACCUGCCCUUAGGUUCGGAAUAACUCCCCGAAAGGGGUGCUAAUACCGGAUAAUGUCUUCGGACCAAAGAUUUAUCGCCUUUGGAUGGGCCCGCGUUGGAUUAGCUAGUUGGUAGGGUAAAAGCCUACCAAGGCGACGAUCCAUAGCUGGUCUGAGAGGAUGAUCAGCCACACUGGGACUGAGACACGGCCCAGACUCCUACGGGAGGCAGCAGUGGGGAAUAUUGGACAAUGGGCGAAAGCCUGAUCCAGCAAUGCCGCGUGAGUGAUGAAGGUCUUAGGGUUGUAAAGCUCUUUUACCCGGGAUGAUAAUGACAGUACCGGGAGAAUAAGCUCCGGCUAACUCCGUG